UCUGGUUGAUCCUGCCUGAACUGAUGUGUUUAUUUCAAAGAUUAAGCCAUGCAUGUAUAAGUUUAAUCGUUUAUCGAGAAACCGCGAACGGCUCAUUAGAAUGGCCAUUAUUUACUUGAUCUUGAUUGUCUAAAUGGAUAACUGUGGAAAAGCUAGAGCUAAUACAUGCACUAAAGCUUUGUCCUUACGGAAAAGCGCAUUUAUUAGAACAAAACCACGCGGCUUCGGCUGCUUCUUGUUGACUCAGAAUAACUUAGCUGACCGCAUGGCCUUGUGCCGGCGGCGUGUCUUUCAAGCGUCCACUUUAUCAACUUGACGGGAGCAUAAUCGACUCCCGUGGUGGUGACGGAUAACGGAGGAUCAGGGUUCGACUCCGGAGAAGGGGCCUGAGAAAUGGCCACUACGUCUAAGGAUGGCAGCAGGCGCGCAAAUUACCCACUCUCGGCUCCAGGAGGUAGUGACGAGAAAUAACGAGACUGUUCUCUUUGAGGCCGGUCAUCGGAAUGGGUACAAUUUAAACCCUUUAACGAGUAUCAAGCAGAGGGCAAGUCUGGUGCCAGCAGCCGCGGUAAUUCCAGCUCUGCAAAUACAUAGAAUUAUUGCUGCGGUUAGAAAGCUCAUAGUUGGAUUCGUAUCGAUACCUUGGAACCCUUCGGGUGUCUCUAGGUGUUAUCGAUUUAUCGUAAUGUUCGGUUUUGAGUCCUUAACAGGAUUCUUAACAGGCAUUGCAAGUUUACUUUGAACAAAUCAGAGUGCUUCAAACAGGCGUUUUCGCUUGAAUGAUCGUGCAUGGAAUAAUAGAAAAUGAUUUCGGUUCAGUUUUAUUGGUUUUACGGACUGAGAUAAUGGUUAACAGAGACAAACGGCAGGCUCCACACCACCAGGAGUGGAGCCUGCGGCUUAAUUUGACUCAACACGGGGAAACUCACCCGGCCCGGACACUGUGAGGAUUGACAGAUUGAUAGCUUUUUCAUGAUUCAGUGGAUGGUGGUGCAUGGCCGUUCUUAGUUCGUGGAGUGAUUUGUCUGGUUUAUUCCGAUAACGAGCGAGACUCUAACCUACUAAAUAGUUGGUACAUACUCUUAGUGUAUACAGCUUCUUAGAGGGAUUUGCGGCGUUCAGCCGAAAGAAAUUGAGCAAUAACAGGUCUGUGAUGCCCUUAGAUGUCCGGGGCUGCACGCGCGCUACACUGGCAAAAUCAACGUGCUUGUCCUACCCUGAAAGGGGCGGGUAAACCAUUGAAAAUUUGCCGUGAUUGGGAUCGGAAAUUGCAAUUAUUUUCCGUGAACGAGGAAUUCCAAGUAAGUGCGAGUCAUCAGCUCGCGUUGAUUACGUCCCUGCCCUUUGUACACACCGCCCGUCGCUGCCCGGGACUGAGCCAUUUCGAGAAAUUUGGGGACCGUUGAUUUAAUUUUUCUAAAUUACUUUGAUGGAAACCAAUUUAAUCGCAGUGGCUUGAACCGGGCAAAAGUCGUAACAAGGUAGCUGUAGGUGAACCUGCUGCUG
rnacentral:rRNA from 1 species